rnacentral:rRNA from 1 species
AACGAACGCUGGCGGCAUGCCUAACACAUGCAAGUCGAACGAGACCUUCGGGUCUAGUGGCGCACGGGUGCGUAACGCGUGGGAACCUGCCCUUAGGUUCGGAAUAACUCCCUGAAAGGGGUGCUAAUACCGGAUAAUGUCUUCGGACCAAAGAUUUAUCGCCUUUGGAUGGGCCCGCGUUGGAUUAGCUAGUUGGUAGGGUAAAAGCCUACCAAGGCGACGAUCCAUAGCUGGUCUGAGAGGAUGGUCAGCCACACUGGGACUGAGACACGGCCCAGACUCCUACGGGAGGCAGGAGUGGGGAAUAUUGGACAAUGGGCGAAAGCCUGAUCCAGCAAUGCCGCGUGAGUGAUGAAGGCCUUAGGGUUGUAAAGCUCUUUUACCCGGGAUGAUAAUGACAGUACCGGGAGAAUAAGCGCCGGCUAACUCCGUG